rfam:Capsicum annuum cultivar Zunla-1 unplaced genomic scaffold scaffold1110, whole genome shotgun sequence
AUACUUACCUAAAUGAGGUUAAUGGGCGAUUAAUAAGAUUCACGGCCUAGGAUUUUGACAUCCAUUGCACUUUGGAGUGGUACCUACCUAAAGUCGGCCCAAGUGGUCGAGCCUAUUUCAUAAUUUGUUUUCAAUGGAGGCCUGCUUUCACGUAGCCCCUAC